rnacentral:rRNA from 1 species
AUUGAACGCUGGCGGCAGGCCUAACACAUGCAAGUCGAACGAGUGGCGGACGGGUGAGUAAUGUCUGGGAAACUGCCCGAUUGAGGGGGAUAACUACUGGAAACGGUAGCUAAUACCGCAUACCAUCGGAUGUGCCCAGAUGGGAUUAGCUAGUAGGGGGGGUAACGGCUCACCUAGGCGACGCUCCAUAGCUGGUCUGAGAGGAUGACCCGCCACACUGGAACUUAGGCACGGCCCAGACUGCUACUGGAGGCAGCAGUGGGGAAUAUGGCAUCAUGGGCGCAGGCCUUAGGCAGCCAUGCCGCGUGUAUGAAGAAGGCCUUCGUGUUGUAAAGUACUUUCAGCGAGGAUGCGUUACUCGCAGAAGAAGCACCGGCUAACUCCGUGCCAGAAGCCGCGGUAAUUC